GAUUCCACACAGGAAGGUCACACCAUCCCUCACUGUUACAAGGGUAAAGAUCUGAUAGAUAUGGAAUUUGAGGCUAAAGCAGAAGAAGAAGAAGAAGAGAGGUAUGUGAGUGAUGAUCAGCAGUCUAUGGAGGAGGAUGGAAUAAUAAGGCUAAUUAUAGAGGACGGCACUUCUACAGAGAUCAGCACAGUAGAUGGACGGGAGAUGAGGAAAACCUCAGAGGAUUGUCU